rnacentral:rRNA from 1 species
GGAUGCGAUCAUACCAGCACUAAAGGACCAGAUCUCAUCAGAACUCCAAAGUUAAGCGUGCUUGGGUGAGAGUAGUAUUAGGAUGGGUGACCUCCUGGGAAGUCCUCGUGACGCAUUCC